UUAUUUGCCAGCGGGUUAAGCCGGGAACUUUAAGGAUACUGCCAGUGACAAACUGGAGGAAGGCGGGGACGACGUCAAGUCAUCAUGGCCCUUACGACCAGGGCUACACACGUGCUACAAUGGUCGGUACAAAGGGUUGCUACCUAGCGAUAGGAUGCUAAUCUCAAAAAGCCGAUCGUAGUCCGGAUUGGAGUCUGCAACUCGACUCCAUGAAGUCGGAAUCGCUAGUAAUCGCGGAUCAGAAUGCCGCGGUGAAUACGUUCCCGGGCCUUGUACACACCGCCCGUCACACCAUGGGAAUUUGUUGCACCAGAAGUAGGUAGUCUAACCGCAAGGAGGACGCUUACCACGGUGUGGCCGAUGACUGGGGUGAAGUCGUAACAAGGUAGCCGU
rnacentral:rRNA from 1 species